rnacentral:lncRNA from 1 species
AAUUCGUCGUCCCCAGAACGGCCAACGGGUAGCAACUUUGGAACGCCAUUCAAGGCGAUUUCACAGUGAGCGAACCCAGAGGGGUUCACAGCUCCUAUGUACGUAUUCAAGUCGAGAUCUGGGUCUCGACUGGCAUUCAAAUCCACGGGAGGUGGCGGAGUUCUUUCGGCACGUCGGCCCGCUCGCCUUCGUGAAUUACGGGCACCACGGUCCACAAACAGAGUCUCCUCGAUAUCGAC